UACGGGAGGCAGCAGUGGGGAAUAUUGCACAAUGGGCGAAAGCCUGAUGCAGCUAUGCCGCGUGUAUGAAGAAGGCCUUAGGGUUGUAAAGUACUUUCAUCGGGGAGGAAAAAACAAAACUAAUAAUUUUAUUUCUUGACGUUACCCGAAAAAGAAGCACCGGCUAACUCCGUGCCAGCAGCCGCGGUAAUACGGAGGGUGCUAGCGUUAAUCAGAAUUACUGGGCGUAAAGAGCACGUAGGUGGUUUUUUUAAGUCAGAUGUGAAAUCCCUGGGCUUAACCUAGGAACUGCAUUUUGAAACUGAAAUACUAGAGUAUCGUAGAGGGAGGUAGAAUUCUAGGUGUAGCGGUGAAAUGCGUAGAUAUCUGGAGGAAUACCUGUGGCGAAAGCGGCCUCCUAAACGAAUACUGACACUGAGGUGCGAAAGCGUUGGGGAGCGAAACAGGGAUUAGAUACC
rnacentral:rRNA from 1 species